rnacentral:rRNA from 1 species
UCAGUAACACGUAGUCAACAUGCCCAGGGGACGUGGAUAACCUCGGAAAACUGAGGAUAAACCGCGAUAGGUCAUAAUGUCUGGAAUGAUUUAUGGCUGAGAUCUACAUGGCCCCUGGAUUGGACUGCGGCCGAUCAGGCUGUUGGUGAGGUAAUGGCCCACCAAACCUAAAACCGGUACGGGCUCUGAGAGGAGAAGCCCGGAGAUGGGCACUGAGACAAGGGCCCAGGCCCUAUGGGGCGCAGCAGGCGCGAAACCUUUGCAAUAAGCGAAAGCUUGACAAGGUUAUUCUGAGUGAUUUCCGCAAAGGAGAUCUUUUGGCACCUCUAAAAAUGGUGCAGAAUAAGGGGUGGGCAAGCCUGGUGCCAGCCGCCG